UUAAUACAAAUUUGUAUGGAGUCGGAACAGUUUCCCUUCAUUUUUAACAUCUUGAUCGCGUAAAAGUUGUAUGAAGCUGAAACGCCUCUUGCGGCAAACGAAGGGAAGCUGUUCUGGCUCCAUACAAUUUUGAGUUA
rnacentral:pre_miRNA from 1 species